rnacentral:ncRNA from 2 species
UAUUGUGCUCACCGAGCUGGUUCGGCCGUCCCGCCAGGGCGGUCGUCGUAAGAGGGAACCCGGUGUGAAUCCGGGACUGCCCCGCAGCGGUGAACGGGAACGACCGCCGUCACGAAGCACUGGACGCAGAGGUCCGGGAAGCGACGGCCAGUAGGUGCCGACCAGGCAUGCCCGUGAGUCCGAAGACCUGCCCGCUCGCCCGUUCCGCA